GGGGGCGACAUGGCUUCGACGCCGAUGACAAACCCUGAGGUGCAUGCCGAGAGCGUGAUGUAUCUCGUAAAUCCAACAUCACGAUUAAAUAGUCGCAAACGACGACAACUACGCUCAGGGCGCGCUGGCAGCGUAAAAACUGCUAGCUUCUAGUCCUACCCGGCGGUGAUGUGCCCAUUCAUCACCAAAGGGCACGAGCUCAGACUGAUGGGAUCGCGGUUGGCUUCGUCCUCGCGUCAACCGUUAAACCUUAGAGGAAUCGCGUUUCUGGAUCCUGGCCGUCGGAGCCAGAAGCGUUAAAGCAAAAGACGGAACUAAGCAUGUAGAGCCGAUGGGCGAGUGUCGGCGGACGCGGGUUCGAUUCCCGCCGCCUCCACCA
rfam:Halomonas elongata DSM 2581, complete genome